GGAAACUGAGGCAUUACAUUAAGAAAAAUAAUGUGUUUAUAAAGGAACUGGUAAACUGCUAAGUUCCCAUUUCAUGUCUACUUACACUCUGCAUCAUUUCUCUGUAAAUGACUAGGAGAAGGUAGUGCAGGAUGUCUCUAGGAAAGGUGGUUCGUUCACCACUUGCAUUUAUUUCAGCAGUGCUCAGUAUGAACCCAGCGAUUGAUGGGCAAAAGCUGAGUUCACACGUAUGCAAAGCACACUGGGGAAAAAAAAAAUCAAACAAAAAGAAACCCAAAACAAAACCUAAAAGAGAAACAGAGGCCUUGUCCCUCCUGGUAAGCAUGGUGUGCUUCUCCUGAAUUAUCUGUGAAGAGGGACUGCCAGAAGGUUGCACUGAGCUCUGCAGUUCAUAGAGUAUCAGCGCUGCUCAGGUUAGAAUGGCCCCGGGGAGCUUGUCUAGUCCAGUAUGUGCCUCGAAGCAGAGACUACACUCAGGCUGUGAGCUCUGAGUAGCUUAGUAAGGUUCUUUAUCCCCUGGAACUUCAUAAAGGGCUAGAGACUGCACAGCCUGUCUGGAAAACCUACUCCACUGCUUGGCCAUCUUCACAACCAAAAAGGCUUUUCUUGGGUUGUAUCAGAACCUGCCCUGCUUUAAGUGAAGCCCUACUGCCUCUUGACCUCCUGCUGUGUAGGAGGUCUGCAAAAAACUUUAUUCAGCUGUUUUGAAACAAUCAAAUGUCACUGUACUUUGCAGGCAUUGGGUGUCCUUCCUACCCCAUGGCCAUCUUUUUUUCUUUUCAGUCUGAACAGACACAGUUCUCUCAUCCUAACAGGAUAUUUACUCAUUCCUGACUCUCUUGGUGGCCUGAUACUGCAACAAGGGCAGUUGCUAGAGAUGGGCUUUUUUCUUAAGUAAGCUUAUUGGAGGGUAAGACAGGAGGAACUUUCAAUUCCUUUUAUAAAGAGACCUAGUAAUCUCUCUUGUUUCUGUAAGAAUGGAGCUGUAGGAUUUCAGUUUUCCUUCCAAUGUUGGGCUUGUUUAUUGAAACAAUACUGUCAUAUCUUUAUUGUAUCAGUAGAACUGAAAGGACAUAACUAGGCAGGAAAAAGCAGCAACUGAAGACAAACCUAAGUUUUCAUCUUCAGUGCUCCUGAGAUCCUUCAGGCUCUUCCUGGCUAAAGUGAGACAUUAGGUGGUUUUGUGUUUGGAGGGACAAAAAUCUAUGCCCUGGAAGUAAGUCCUCCUGUUUGACAGAGCUGCUCCUACUGGGAUUUCUCAGCUAAGCAAGGUCAGGGAGAGAGAGGCAAGUGCUCUGCCGGUCUGGCGUGGUGCUGGGGCAGGGGGAACUGCACCCUGCCCGAAACUUGGCAGUAUGCCCUGGGCAGUCAAACAGAAAUGCCUUAACGCCUGGUUCGGAGACUUUCUGGUGUGGAAUUGUUGAGCAGCAAUAUUCAUGUAGUAAGUGCACUGGGGCUUGUGACCGAUUUGCGUUACGAUUGUCUGGGUUUUCUCCUUUCCUCUUGAUAAAUAGUACUGAUUGCUUGUGAGCUUAUCGUAUUAUGAAUGUUUUUGCCCUCCUACGCCUCGCUGAUUGUUUUCCCCGUUGCCUUUUUUCAAGCCUGGAUGCCGUUCCCAGUUUCGCCGGCGGGCCUUGCUGCGGGGAGAGGGAGGCUCAGCGGGCCGGGCGUGAGGAGCCGAACGGUUCGGGGAUCCGGAAACGGUGAAAACGGCGUCGCAAGCACUCCGGGCUUCGCCCGCCGGUGACGAAACGCAGCGGCGCUCAACACCUCGCUCCCGUAACCCUUUCGUUGCCGCCCGCUCCAGGAGGAGGAGCAGCGGGAGCCGAGCGGGCGGGGCGGACGCGGCGCCGCCAUCCCGGCAGCGCCCGUGCGGCGGGGCGGGCGCUGGGGGGGGGGGGGGGGGGGGGGGGGGGGGGGGGGGGGGGGGGGGGGGGGGGGGGGGGGGGGGGGGGGGGGGGGGGGGGGGGGG
rnacentral:lncRNA from 12 species